UACAGAGGUCCCGAGCGUUGUUCGGAUUCACUGGGCGUAAAGGGUGCGUAGGUGGUGAGGUAAGUCGGAUGUGAAAGCUCGGAGCUCAACUCCGAAACGGCAUUGGAAACUACCUUGCUUGAGGAUUGGAGGGGGGACUGGAAUACUUGGUGUAGCAGUGAAAUGCGUAGAUAUCAAGUGGAACACCAGUGGCGAAGGCGGGUCUCUGGGCAGUAACUGACGCUGAGGAGCGAAAGCGUGGGGAGCGAACAGG
rnacentral:rRNA from 1 species